rnacentral:rRNA from 1 species
ACGCUCGACACCUACGAGAGGCAGCAGUGGGGAAUAUUGCACAAUGGGGGAAACCCUGAUGCAGCGACGCCGCGUGAGUGAAGAAGUAAUUCGUUAUGUAAAGCUCUAUCAGCAGGGAAGAAAGUGACGGUACCUGAGUAAGAAGCCCCGGCUAACUACGUGCUAGCAGCCGCGGUAAUCUGAGCGGGCUGGCAAGGC